UAGGGAAUCUUCCACAAUGGACGCAAGUCUGAUGGAGCAACGCCGCGUGAGUGAAGAAGGUUUUCGGAUCGUAAAGCUCUGUUGUUGGUGAAGAAGGAUAGAGGUAGUAACUGGCCUUUAUUUGACGGUAAUCAACCAGAAAGUAACGGCUAACUACGUGCCAGCAGCCGCGGUAAUACGUAGGUGGCAAGCGUUGUCCGGAUUUAUUGGGCGUAAAGCGAGCGCAGGCGGAAGAAUAAGUCUGAUGUGAAAGCCCUCGGCUUAACCGAGGAACUGCAUCGGAAACUGUUUUUCUUGAGUGCAGAAGAGGAGAGUGGAACUCCAUGUGUAGCGGUGGAAUGCGUAGAUAUAUGGAAGAACACCAGUGGCGAAGGCGACUCUCUGGUCUGCAACUGACGCUGAGGCUCGAAAGCAUGGGUAGCGAACAGG
rnacentral:rRNA from 1 species